rnacentral:lncRNA from 1 species
AUUGGGAAAUUUUAUGAUUGCCUAUGUGUAUAUAAUAGCGCUUAGGAUUUAAGGGCAUUAGUUAUAGAAAAGUUUAGGAUUUAGUGUUAUUGGUGAUAGUUUUAUAUGUUUAGAAGGCGAUUGCUGAUAAAUUUGUAUGUUUAGAAGAGCAAUGCUACAAGUACACUUUAAAGUGAGAUGUAUAUCUUACACCUAUUUCAUCCUAACGGUUAAUUUCAUAUAGGUGCCUGUAAAGAUAUAGAAUAACAAAUAUAUUCCUACAAAACUUAAGUUCUCAGAUUUAUUCAUUCAAAAUUUCUUUGGUUGACAAAUAUAUCCUUCCAAAAUCUCGAUUGUGACUCGAGCCAACAAGCCUCACACCACUUCGAACAUGACUCAGUCCAACCCAACCUCACGCCAUUUCGAACAUGACUCGGCCCACAUGGCCUCCUGCCACAGGGUAGGAUGCUGACCCAUUUAAGCCAACAUAUUCAUUUAGAAGAUAAACUUA